UACGUAGGGCGCAAGCGUUGUCCGGAAUUAUUGGGCGUAAAGAGCUCGUAGGCGGUCUGUCGCGUCGAAUGUGGAAACCCCGAGGCUCAACCUCGGGCCUGCAGUGGGUACGGGCAGACUAGAGUGCGGUAGGGGAGAUUGGAAUUCCUGGUGUAGCGGUGGAAUGCGCAGGAUAUCAGGAGGAACACCGAUGGCGAAGGCAGAUCUCUGGGCCGUAACUGACGCUGAGGAGCGAAAGCGUGGGGAGCGAACAGG
rnacentral:rRNA from 1 species